UACGAAGGGGGCUAGCGUUGUUCGGAAUUACUGGGCGUAAAGCGCGCGCAGGUGGUCUUUCAAGUCAGUGGUGAAAGCCCGGAGCUCAACUCCGGAAAUGCCAUUGAAACUGUGAGACUUGAGGACGAGAGAGGUGAGUGGAAUUCCCAGUGUAGAGGUGAAAUUCGUAGAUAUUGGGAAGAACACCGGUGGCGAAGGCGGCCCCCUGGACCGGUACUGACGCUGAGGCGCGAAAGCGUGGGUAGCAAACGGG
rnacentral:rRNA from 1 species